AAAUAAUAUAGAAAAGAUGCUCUCUUUGAUAAAUGGUGGUAGGGAAACUGGAAGCUACAUACAAAAGAAUGACACUGGACCACUUUCUUACACCAUACACA